CCUACGGGAGGCAGCAGUGAGGAAUAUUGGACAAUGGGCGAAAGCCUGAUCCAGCCAUGCCGCGUGCAGGAAGACUGCCCUAUGGGUUGUAAACUGCUUUUAUACGGGAAGAAACCCAUCUACGUGUAGAUGGCUGACGGUACCGUAAGAAUAAGCAUCGGCUAACUCCGUGCCAGCAGCCGCGGUAAUACGGAGGAUGCAAGCGUUAUCCGGAAUCAUUGGGUUUAAAGGGUCCGUAGGUGGAUUGGUAAGUCAGAGGUGAAAGCCUGCAGCUCAACUGUAGAACUGCCUUUGAUACUGCUAGUCUUGAAUUAUUGUGAAGUGGUUAGAAUAUGUAGUGUAGCGGUGAAAUGCAUAGAUAUUACAUAGAAUACCAAUUGCGAAGGCAGAUCACUAACAAUAUAUUGACACUGAUGGACGAAAGCGUGGGGAGCGAACGG
rnacentral:rRNA from 1 species